rnacentral:rRNA from 1 species
CUGAGGAUUCAGGGCUCUCUGGUUGUGCCAGGCUUGCUUGCCCUACCAGAUGUUGCUGGUCGCCCGCUGCGAUUCGCGUCGUGUGCGGUGUCGUUACCGGCGAUCACUCGGUGGGGUGCUUGCUCUGCCUUCUGGGGUCUUGCACUUCCUCCCUAGUAGAAACGUCGCGACCCGUUGGGUGUCGGUCUAAGGCCUGGGAAGGCAGCCUGUGCAUCUUGCGUUGUGCACGCAGGUGUGCGGACUCUCGGUGUCCCGGCCGGCUGCCCGACGGUAUGAUCAGAGGAGUCGAUCCGCUGAAAUGGAAGCAUUAUGGUUGUGUAGCGUCCGGCCCGGCGCCGACUCGCGUGGGUUGGUGACUUGUCUUCGGGUAGCUGUGCUCUGCACGGCCCCGGCCCCACUGCGUUGUCGGAUUGCUGGUGUCCUUGGACUGGAUCGCCACUCCCGUCAGCGACGCCCAAUCUUCGGAUGGUCUCCCG